ACGCACGCUGGCGGCGUGCUUAACACCUGCAAGUCGAACGGAAAGGCCCUGCUUUUGUGGGGUGCUCGAGUGGCGAACGGGUGAGUAACACGUGAGUAACCUGCCCUUGACUUUGGGAUAACUUCAGGAAACUGGGGCUAAUACCGGAUAGGAGCUCCUGCUGCAUGGUGGGGGUUGGAAAGUUUCGGCGGUUGGGGAUGGACUCGCGGCUUAUCAGCUUGUUGGUGGGGUAGUGGCUUACCAAGGCUUUGACGGGUAGCCGGCCUGAGAGGGUGACCGGCCACAUUGGGACUGAGAUACGGCCCAGACUCCUACGGGAGGCAGCAGUGGGGAAUAUUGCACAAUGGGCGGAAGCCUGAUGCAGCAACGCCGCGUGCGGGAUGACGGCCUUCGGGUUGAAAACCGCUUUCGCCUGUGACGAAGUGUGAGUGACGGUAAUGGGUAAAGAAGCACCGGCUAACUACGUG
rnacentral:rRNA from 1 species